rnacentral:rRNA from 1 species
GUGCCAGCCGCCGCGGUAAUACGAAGGGGGCAAGCGUUGUUCGGAAUGACUGGGCGUAAAGGGCGCGUAGGCGGUGCGUUGCGUCAGAUGUGAAAUCCCCGGGCUCAACCUGGGAAUGGCAUUUGAUACGGGCGCGCUGGAAUCCGUGAGAGGUUGGUGGAAUUCCCAGUGUAGAGGUGAAAUUCGUAGAUAUUGGGAAGAACACCAGUGGCGAAGGCGGCCAACUGGCACGGUAUUGACGCUGAGGCGCGAAAGCGUGGGGAGCAAACAGGAUUAGAAACCCUAGUAGUCC